rnacentral:rRNA from 1 species
CCUACGGGUGGCAGCAGUGGGGAAUAUUGGACAAUGGGGGGAACCCUGAUCCAGCCAUGCCGCGUGUGUGAAGAAGGCCCUCGGGUUGUAAAGCACUUUCAGUGAGGAAGAACGCCUGGUGGUUAAUACACAUCAGGAAAGACAUCACUCACAGAAGAAGCACCGGCUAACUCCGUGCCAGCAGCCGCGGUAAUACGGAGGGUGCGAGCGUUAAUCGGAAUUACUGGGCGUAAAGCGCGCGUAGGUGGCUUGAUAAGCCGGUUGUGAAAGCCCCGGGCUCAACCUGGGAACGGCAUCCGGAACUGUCAAGCUAGAGUGCAGGAGAGGAAGGUAGAAUUCCCGGUGUAGCGGUGAAAUGCGUAGAGAUCGGGAGGAAUACCAGUGGCGAAGGCGGCCUUCUGGACUGACACUGACACUGAGGUGCGAAAGCGUGGGUAGCAAACAGGAUUAGAUACCCCUGUAGUC